UCCAUGGUGCACAAAGAAGUUCUUGCCUUUACCUUCUCCAACGUUUAUACAAACUUGGGGGUGGCGAUUUUAAUGAGCUGGCACGGUGUAGUCGCAGUCUCUAGUUAAUUUGCCCACUCUGAUCACAAUGUGGCUAAAACGUCCUGUUAAUACUUAACAAUUAACACAUCUUGCAUAAGUUAUGUUAAAUCAAACUAUGUAAACAGAAAAGAAGCACGUGGGACAUAACAAGACUGGGAAAAAGGAUUAAUUUGGAAGAAAAAGAGAAGAGAGGAGAAGUGGUCAUCUUGACGAGGGCUUUUGAUGGCAGAAUUAGAGAGGUUUUGUAAAAGGCAAAAAGAUUUGUCUUAUUAGUCCAUUUUAAUAUUAAUGGAAACUGACAGAGAGUACCAAAGAUAUUAGAAAGUAAUCAUCUUCAUUAAAAAAAAAAAAAGUAAUAAUCGAUUAUAUUGCUCCUGCACUUAAGUGCCUCCAAAUUUCAUCAUAGAGUCUCACCAGCCAUACUUCCACAUAAGUAAAUUCCUCUUUGGUAUUAAGUUUAACUUCCAGAAAGUUAGUUAAAAUAAGUUGGAGAGCUGUCUUUGUUAUAUAUGAGCAAAAGUAUUUGAAGGAACUUUCUCCAUGCUAGAAAAGGUUUCUACCACGAAGUUAAUGAUACAUAUACCAUGAAUUCAUUAUUAAUCCUUUCGAACCCUCUAUAGAAGUAUGUCUUGAAAACAUUUUCUUUUCAAAAAAUGAGAAUAUAUUAUCUGCAUGACUAUUUUAUCCUAUUAGAAGUUUACUUGGAAGAAUUCUCAAUCAACUCCUUAAAAAUCACAAGAAAUGAAAAGAUAAAACAACUUCAGUGAAAAUGAUGAUAUGCAUACGACUUUAAUAUCAAAUGGAACUCUUAUUAGCAAAAAUAAUAUGCUUUUAUUUCCCACAAUUUGAUCUACAAAAAGAAUAUAGCAUACCGAUCUGAAUCCUGUCUCUAUCAACUCCAAUCACCACAAUUUGAGCUAUUGUCCACCAAAAUUCCAAUCAAAACCCUCGCAAACACUUCUUGGGACCAUAAGGAAAGAAAAGAAAAUCAUAUUUCAUUCUACUAAAUCCCAUCCUUAUAUGAAACAGCGGAAAUUUUUUAGAAAUGAAAGGAAUUAGAAAUCCAAUAUUUUUUUUUUGGCAUAUGUACCAUCUAGGUUUGAUGAUGAUGAAAAAGAUCAUGUACCUUACAGAAACGCGAUUGUGCUAUUAUAUUGUUGAUGUGAGAGGGAUUGUAUGCAACGGUAAAUCCAAUAUCUAACCACCAAAUAAAAUCAAAUGGACCUUUGAAAGCCCUCAUCUUGGAUAGGCAAUAACUUUAUGAGAUUUGAAGUUUGGAUGGGACUAUUAUAAUAGCAUAACAUGUUACUUAAAACCUAGGAUUCCAAGGAUUAAUGAAGUUGUUUAUCAUAUGAAUUUCCUAGUGGACUUUUUUUCCCUCGCAAUUAUUACCUCUAACAAAAUAGUCAUUGCUAUAAUGGCUGAUAUAUUGCAUUAUAACAUAAAAUAACAAACAAUAACAAGAAAAUAAUAGCAUUAUGUUUUCAUUCAAUUUUCAUUGAGUAAAAUAUUAUUGUAAUUUAGACUGUAUAAUCA
rnacentral:lncRNA from 1 species